rnacentral:rRNA from 1 species
UACGAAGGGGGCUAGCGUUGCUCGGAAUCACUGGGCGUAAAGCGUGCGCAGGCGGUUUUGUAAGUCUGUUGUGAAAUCCCCGGGCUUAACCUGGGAAUUGCAAUGGAGACUGCAAGGCUGGAGUCUGGCAGAGGGGGGUAGAAUUCCACGUGUAGCAGUGAAAUGCGUAGAGAUGUGGAGGAACACCGAUGGCGAAGGCAGCCCCCUGGGUCAAGACUGACGCUCAUGCACGAAAGGCGUGGGGAGCAAACAGG